rnacentral:lncRNA from 10 species
UUAAAAGAACCCUGACUAAUACAGGGCCCCUCUGGCAUCUUCUGCCCACCUGUGCCAAUGACUCUGGCUUCCUGAAUGCCUGGCCUCUGAACUCCCUUGGCUUGGGCCAACAGUAACCCCCUGCCCUGUCCUGCCAGGGUAAGGGUCACGUGGCCCACUCUGAUGCCCAGGCCUGGCCCUUAGUGGGAGGAGGGGGGCACGCACCUGUUAAGCUCUCAAAGCUUCUGCUUUUCUGUGAAAAUCCCAAAUCAGUGUCCAGAAAGUUCCUGGUGAGGCAGAGAGGUGAGCAUUCUUCCUAGGCUGCAAAGAUCAAUGGGUUCUAUGAGCAAGGGCAACGUACAGAAAACACAUAUGGGGCAGGAAUCUGUCAGGCAGGUGGCAAAGCAUUGCAGACUACAAAUGCAUUAUGCUGUAUUUAAACUUUCUCCCUAUGACUAGAUUCUUCAGUUUCUCAUUUUCAGCUGUUACAAACAGUAUUGCAGUGAACAAUCCCUUUCCAAUAUCUUCAUGAUGUUACACAAGUGUUUUUGUAAAAUAAAAGACUAGAUGUAAAAUUGA